CGUUUUUUGGGUGAAUGUUAAGUGACUUUCAUAAAUGCAUGCAGGUCUGCAGAAUGCUUCUCUUCUGGAGAACAAGAUGCUGGUGUGCUGUAAUAGCCCUCCUCAUUUGAAAGGUAUCCCAGUAUGGCAGGUACCAGAAUGUAAAACCCUCACAACUAUGAGCCCUACCACUACAAGUCUUACCACUGUGAGCCUGACCACUGGAAGUCCUGGCACCGGGAACCCUGCCACUGUAUUAAUAACCAAACCUCUUAGAAUCGGACCCUCAACUUUAAUCAUUUUAAUUGUAUUGUAUCACAGGAAACGAGAGAGAAAACAUCUACAGGCUGUAAAACCGGCUUCAGAGAAAUCAGAAAUGAUACGAACCAGUGAAUCAACUGCAAAGAGCAAUGGAGAAGAAAACAGAAAAAUGACAUCUGAAAUUGCUAAUAAAACACAAAUUGCCACAACAGAGGUGUUACUGAGGACAAACCAAAUUAUGGUUGGAGAUGAGAAGACAUCACAGAUUUACCAUAUUUAUUCAUCAGGGACAUAUGAAACCAGAGAACCUAUUAAACGAGUGAGAUCUGCCGGGCCGGUCCUGUGCAGGAUGGAGAUGUUUUCUAAACCGACAGAAGCAGAAGUGGCCACUGAAGAAGAUGGGGUAAGGAAUGAUGAGUAUUACAAUGGAUGGAUGACCUCAGAAAAAGAAAAGGACAAUGUAUGUGUGAAUACUGAGGAGGUGGAAGAUGGAAAAAACUUUGCAGAUGAUGAGAAUGAUGGAUUCAUUGAUGAGGUCAGUAACACCACAGACACUGUGAAAUUACACAAGGAACUUGGAGAGAAAAAAGAUGCUGAUGUGAGUGUUCAAGCCGGAACAAGUGUUGACCAAGACGUUCUCCAGCAUAGUGUGGAGAAUGAUGUGUUGGAUCACCUGAAUGAGUUGACCGUUGAAGCAGGAAGCAGUCAAGAUUCUCUCCAGGUAAAACAUGUCACAUCCCAGUCUGAGGAGACUGCUGAAAACCUGCCGUACCUCUCGAUCGGUGCUGAUCCGGAAAACCAGACCUCUAGGGUUGAUCAGAAUACUGCUAAAGGAACAUCAGGACCUUCAAGACCCAUUUGGCGGGUACUGACCUGGCCUCCGACUGCGGCCCAGUGGAAGAAACAGUGGGCUCAAAAUCAACAAGUGCUUAAUAUGUUCCCUCAACUAAUAUUUGUAACCGGCUGCAGGCAUGACAUCAGACCAUUUCAUCCUAGCAUUUCUCCUGCAAUCCUCCCAACUGCUCCACAGUUCAAUGCACGGGAGUUUCUGCCAGAAAUAACGUCCCCAAUAGAAGAUGUCCGAGUCACUAUUGAUGAGGACACUUACAGGGCAAGUCUUGAGUCAUCCAAUCAUAAAGUCCUACAUUUCAGUGCACAGGAAUGCUUCUCUGAUUCUAAUAUAUCACCAAGGGAGGAUGGC
rnacentral:lncRNA from 1 species